UACGUAGGGGGCUAGCGUUGUCCGGAUUUAUUGGGCGUAAAGAGCGUGUAGGCGGCCAAACAGGUCCGUUGUGAAAACUGGAGGCUCAACCUCCAGACGUCGACGGAAACCGUAUGGCUAGAGUCCGGAAGAGGAGAGUGGAAUUCCUGGUGUAGCGGUGAAAUGCGCAGAUAUCAGGAAGAACACCUAUGGCGAAGGCAGCUCUCUGGGACGGUACUGACGCUGAGACGCGAAAGCGUGGGGAGCGAACAGG
rnacentral:rRNA from 1 species